rnacentral:lncRNA from 1 species
AGUAUCUAUCCCAAAGACCAGGGAGAAAGGAAGGAAAGAUUCUGGUUCUGUCCUCUUCCCCAAGGCAAGGCUGGCUGCCCUACCAACAGAGGCAAAGAGAAGAGUGUGCAAGGCUGGCUGCCCUCCCAACAGAGGCAAAGAGGAGUGUGUGUUGAAAUAUCCAUUGAAUCCCUGAGACAACUGGAUCCUGGCCCAUUGAAUCAUAAACUCAGCAGAAUCUCACAUCAUAACCCCAAAUGACCUGUUACUCACCAUGUGGCCCAGCUGUCUUCAAACUCACCAGCCUCCUGCCUUAGCCUUCUAAAUGCUUGGAUUACAGGCAUGACCCACCAUAACUGGCUUUGUUUUAGUUUCAGAGAAGAUGAAACUGAUGUGCGUCAAAAAGCUGGUAGUCUGUCAAGGAAAUGAGCUGAACAUGUCUGUGUACAGCUUUUGUGCCAUCCCUGGAUGAGCGAGCUGUCUGCCUCUAUGUUCUCCACAAAAUGGAAUAUAGCUGUACACCCAAGCCAAGUUAUGGAGGCUGGGAAGACCUAGAAUGUGGCAUCACUAUUUGGAAACCAUGCCGAUUACCGACCGAGCUCUCAAUGGAAAAAUGCAGUCGGCGUGAACCACGCACGAACACAGCAGAGAAAGAAGAAAACACACACCACGAGGAACCCUAAUAGGACAAUACAUUAUAAGUCACAGUGCUACGGAGAAACCCAGUAGCCACAUGGAAGCAGAGACCAUGCAUAUGCAUCUACUCCGCAGCUCUGUGAAUGUCAGCAGCUCCCACGGACUGGAGAUCCCGUGAGAUCCCGUGAGAUCUCACCCAUAGCCUCAUGGUACAUCCACUUGGUGUGCUGGGAGAGUCAGGAUGAGGACCUGAGAAGAACAGCAGCUUGAACCUGACUUCAUUUAACAGCCCACUGCCCUCUUGCCAAGAACCCAUCACAGACCUUCCCAGAAGAGAGGGAUGAGCCUCACCUAUGAAUAAGUCCUCAGAAACUCAAAUUUGAUUCUAAUGGAUUGUUUUCUCAGAAAGACUGAGCAUGUCCCCCCACAUCUCUGUCAUUUCCCACAGUAGUAACCUCUGCAGAUGCCACAUAGAAAACAAAACAAAACAAAAAAACAUGAGGUUGGUGGGCAGAUAGGCAGGGUAUAAACAAACAGCCUUGUAACCCAGAAGCUGUGUGAUAUACAGUAAACUUCACAACACUGAAAAGAUGUCCUAUCUGUUAAAAUGGGGUAAUAACAACUACCCGAAUGUUUAGGAAUAGAACUUCAAUAAAUGAUACAUUUUAUAGUACAGCA